AGAGUUUGAUCAUGGCUCAGGAUGAACGCUAGCGGCAGGCUUAAUACAUGCAAGUCGAGGGGCAGCAGGCUCCGCAGCAAUGCGGAGUGCUGGCGACCGGCAAACGGGUGCGGAACACGUACACAACCUUCCUUUAAGUGGGGAAUAGCCCAGAGAAAUUUGGAUUAAUACCCCGUAAUAUUAUGAUGUGGCAUCACAUUAUAAUUAUAGCUCCGGCGCUUAAUGAUGGGUGUGCGGCUGAUUAGAUAGUUGGCGGGGUAACGGCCCACCAAGUCUGCGAUCAGUAACUGGUGUGAGAGCACGACCAGUCACACGGGCACUGAGACACGGGCCCGACUCCUACGGGAGGCAGCAGUAAGGAAUAUUGGUCAAUGGACGCAAGUCUGAACCAGCCAUGCCGCGUGGAGGAUGAAGGUCCUCUGGAUUGUAAACUUCUUUUAUAUGGGACGAAAAAGGGCCUUUCCAGGUCAACUGACGGUACCAUAUGAAUAAGCACCGGCUAACUCCGUGCCAGCAGCCGCGGUAAUACGGAGGGUGCAAGCGUUAUCCGGAUUCACUGGGUUUAAAGGGUGCGUAGGUGGGUUGGUAAGUCAGUGGUGAAAUCUCCGAGCUUAACUUGGAAACUGCCAUUGAUACUAUCAGUCUUGAAUAUUGUGGAGGUUAGCGGAAUAUGUCAUGUAGCGGUGAAAUGCUUAGAUAUGACAUAGAACACCAAUUGCGAAGGCAGCUGGCUACGCAUAUAUUGACACUGAGGCACGAAAGCGUGGGGAUCAAACAGGAUUAGAUACCCUAGUAGUCC
rnacentral:rRNA from 1 species